GGGAGGUUCCGGAGGGCAGGGCAGGGCAGGGCUGGGGCGGGGAGGGCCGGUGUCUGCGCGAAAGCGGGCUUUGUCCUCGCUGUAGGGAGGCGAGUCUAGGGGUCGGAGACUUCGCCGCCUGCGAGGACCGCCUGGAGACCUCGGUGUCCGCGACUGCCCGGGCCGCUCAGCUGUCAUCACUUCGCUCCGCCGGGAGGCUCCGAUGGCGGCGGCCGCGCCCAGGGACUCAGCUGAGCACAGGUUCUCGUGGCUGGAGAAGGGCUUGGAACCUACACAGGGAACUGGAGGGUGUCCUGGUCCCUCACUGGCCUAGACCCUCACCCCAGUGUCCUCUGACUGUGGUGUCCCGAGGCUCUUCAUGCCAUUCCUCCCUCCUUGAAUCUGGUGAACCUGGAGAACCCCUAAGCCCAGGUUGUGUCGGAAGUCCACAGUUCAGCGGAGAGCGUCCUUGCCGUUCCUCAGAUGCAGCUCCCAUGUGGGCCUUUAUAUGCAGGUGAAGCAGAACUGAGAGACCCACAUGUCACCGUCAAGGAGAUGAAGGGAUGAAUACCAGGGAGCCUGAAGAGACCGGUGUAGAGGUGUCCAUCAGACCAUAUUGAUGGAUCAUAAUAGGGUUCUUCAAAAAGACAAAAUGGAAGAAAGUAAAAGGACACCAACAUACUCAUCAGGAUGAAAUUGGCUUUUGUCCCAUCAAGAUGAGAAUGGAGGGCUCCUGGGUGGCUCAGUGGGUUAAAGCCUCUGCCUUCAGCUCAG